rnacentral:rRNA from 1 species
UACGGAAGGCAGCAGUGGGGAAUAUUGCACAAUGGGCGCAAGCCUGAUGCAGCCAUGCCGCGUGUAUGAAAAAGGCCUUCGGGUUGUAAAGUACUUUCAGUCGUGAGGAAGGUGUUAAGGUUAAUAACCUUAGCAAUUGACGUUAGCGACAGAAGAAGCACCGGCUAACUCCGUGCCAGCAGCCGCGGUAAUACGGAGGGUGCGAGCGUUAAUCGGAAUUACUGGGCGUAAAGGGCACGCAGGCGGUUAAUUAAGUUGGAUGUGAAAUCCCCGGGCUUAACCUGGGAAUGGCAUUCAAGACUGGUUAGCUAGAGUCUUGUAGAGGGGGUAGAAUUCCAUGUGUAGCGGUGAAAUGCGUAGAGAUGUGGAGGAAUACCGGUGGCGAAGGCGGCCCCUGGACAAAGACUGACGCUCAUGUGCGAAAGCUGGGGAGCAAACAGGGAUUAGAUACCCGU